UUAAGGGCGUACGGUGGAUGCCUUGACUUUAAGAGGCGAUGAAGGACGUGGCGUUGCUGCGAUAAGCUUCGGGGAGACGCAAAGCAGUCUUUGAUCCGGAGAUUUCCGAAUGGGGAAACCCUGUAGAGUAAACCUCUACAACCUUGAGCUUUAUGUUCAAGGAGCAUACCCUGGGAAGUGAAACAUCUCAGUACCAGGAGGAGUAGAGAACAAUAGUUAUUUCCUAAGUAGCGGCGAGCGAAAAGGAAGAAGCCCAAACUCGAGUAGCAAUACUCGGGGGUUGUAAGGUAACAAUUUUUAUUUAUUUAAAGAAGAGUCAAAAAAUAAAUUAUUAGCUUAAGUUCUUGGAAAAGGGCACCAUAGAGGGUGAUAGUCCCGUCUGCGAAAAUAAUUUAUCUCUUUUAUUGUUAUUCUUGAGUACCCCAGGACAUGAAUGGAGAUCGAUAGUGAACUAGUACCGUGAGGGAAAGGUGAAAAGCAGCCCGAUUAGGGCGGUGAAAUAGACCUGAAACCGUAUGUCUACAAGGAGUCGAACUCCGUCUUCGGAUGGAGAACGGCGUGCCUAUUGAAGAAUGAGCCAACGAGUUUAUGCAUACUGCUAGGUUAAGUUGACUAAAACAACAAAGCCGAAGGGAAACCGAGUGUUAAUAGCGCGACUGUAUAUUUAUUUAUACGGGUAGAAUGCAUAAGACCCGAAGCCAGGUGAGCUUGCCAUGAGCAGGAUGAAGUAGGUCGAAAGACUUAUGGAGGUCCGAACGGGUAGAUCGUACAACGUCUUCCGAUGACUUGUGGUAAGGAGUGAAAAGCUAAUCGAACCUGGUAAUAGCUGGUUCUCUCCGAAAUAGCUUUAGGGCUAGCGUCAAGUGUUUUCUCUGGGGGUAGAGCACUGGAAGGUCUCAACAGGGAGCAAUCUCGUGAGACCUAUCAAACUCCGAAUACCAGAGACCAUAGCUUGGCAGUUAGGCCAUGGGGGCGAAGCUCCAUUGGCCAAAAGGGAAACAGCCCGGAUCUCUAAAUAAGGUCCCUAAAUAUAUACUAAGUGUAAGACAAGAAGGUGAAGUUUCUCAAACAAUGAGGAGGUUGGCUUAGAAGCAGCCACCCUUUAAAGAUAGCGUAACAGCUCACUCAUCUAGAGAUUUUGCGUCGAAAAUAAUUGGGGCUAAGUAUAUUACCGAAUUUGAGGAUUUUAAUCCCCUUAGGGGGCCUAAAGUGGUAGGAGAGUGUUCCAAUCCGCAGUGAAGGAGGACCCGUGAGGGCCUCUGGAGCGUUUGGAAGUAAGAAUGUUGGCACAAGUAACCGCAAUGAUGCUGAGAACGCAUCACGUCGAAAGAUCAAGGUUUCCUUGGUAAUGUCAAUCAGCCAAGGGUU
rnacentral:rRNA from 1 species